rnacentral:lncRNA from 1 species
UUAUAAUAUUGUAUGGUAAUGAUGAUAGUGACAUAGCUUUAGAGUUAUGCAUCGGAGUAUUCAAAGUUGUUUUUUGCUGUAGCCUGAAGUCUUGCACAUGAUCUACAUGAGAGCCUUACAAAUAGUAUAUGGAAUUCGACUGGAACAUUUUUACAUGAUGCCAGUGAACUCUGAAGUCAUGUAUCCACAUUUAAUGGAAGGCUUCUUACCAUUCAGCAAUUUAGUUACUCAUCUGUGAGUAAAGAGUGAUUUUAUUGUCUUCGUCUACAUUCGUAUUUAUAUUACAUUAAGUUUUCUUAAUGACAUGGUUUUCUUUGGUAAGGAAUACCUACUAUGUUCCUUUUCAUUUCAUCCCAUAUACAUUCAUUCAAACUUUCAAAAUUGUAGACUGUCAUCAAACAGAACUGCCUCCAACUGUGCCACUUUCUCAGCAUAUUUUCAAUUGAACUUCUAAGAUACUGUAAGUCGAAAAUUGUUUACCGUCUUUGUGAAGAGGUUUGAGUUCUUAAAAGAGUCUUAGUGUCACCAAGUUUAUGUACUAUUUAUUAGAAUCUGUAACUAUACUUUAGUAUUGCAUGACUACAUGAUUAAUAUACAGAAAAAAUAGAUUUCAGUGCUAUAGGGUUAUACAUUAUAGUAGAAUUCUGGCUUCGUCCACUGACCUUAAGAAAUAUAUCCAGAAAUCUCUUUCUGAAAAUAAGAUGUUUAUAUCCUAUAGCUUAGCAUUUAAUGUGCAAAAUACUUUUCAAUAGUCUUUUUGUACUUCAUCUUCAAGGGACUCAUUUUUGCCUAUCUGCCGGGUGAAUGACUUUGAGACUGCUGAUAUUCUAUGUCCAAGUAAGUGAGAAUUUAAAACAGUUUUAAUGUCUGGCUUCGAUCUACCAUUUCACCUU